rnacentral:rRNA from 1 species
CCUACGGGGGGCUGCAGUGGGGAAUAUUGGACAAUGGGGGCAACCCUGAUCCAGCCAUGCCGCGUGUGUGAAGAAGGCCCUCGGGUUGUAAAGCACUUUCAGUGAGGAAGAACGCCUGGUGGUUAAUACCCAUCAGGAAAGACAUCACUCACAGAAGAAGCACCGGCUAACUCCGUGCCAGCAGCCGCGGUAAUACGGAGGGUGCGAGCGUUAAUCGGAAUUACUGGGCGUAAAGCGCGCGUAGGUGGCUUGAUAAGCCGGUUGUGAAAGCCCCGGGCUCAACCUGGGAACGGCAUCCGGAACUGUCAAGCUAGAGUGCAGGAGAGGAAGGUAGAAUUCCCGGUGUAGCGGUGAAAUGCGUGGAGAUCGGGAGGAAUACCAGUGGCGAAGGCGGCCUUCUGGACUGACACUGACACUGAGGUGCGAAAGCGUGGGUAGCAAACAGGAUUAGAUACCCUUGUAGUC